AUCCUCCCAGGGUUGCAUCUGGAGAGUUCCAGUACUCUACCAGUCUCAGCUAUAGGAGGGAGAGUCAAGCAGAGGCCUACCCAUUCCAUUUGUAGCUUGGGCAGUGGUUAGCGAAUGGAAGGCAAUCUGCUCCAAAU